GCCAGCGUAGCUCAGGGGUAGAGCAACGGAUUCAUAAACCGUCGGUCGGAGGUUCAAUUCCUCCCGCUGGCA
rnacentral:tRNA from 1 species